GUCGUCGCCGCCUGGGUAUGGUGGUGGUGGUUUUGGAGUCGUAGCAGUAACUGCACCGGUGUUAGUACUUCAUGGUGGCUAGGCGACCGGCCCAGCCACUGAUACGGCCCAACAUCAAACCUCACCAGGGAAGCGAAUAUCAUCAAAAAAGAGACCACAAAGAUGCAGGCGCUGAUUGGCUUCAUUGGGAUUGAGUGGUCUCUGGACUUUACUUUCCUUCUCUACGGACAGGCCGAAGGGAAGGGGGCUGCUUAUCUUCAACAGAUGGUUAACUUGCUUGGGUUGGACUUCCUACCCUUUUCCUUUUUUAUACCCUCUCG